rnacentral:rRNA from 1 species
UACGUAGGUGGCAAGCGUUGUCCGGAUUUACUGGGCGUAAAGGAUGCGUAGGCGGACAUUUAAGUCAGAUGUGAAAUACCCGAGCUUAACUUGGGUGCUGCAUUUGAAACUGGGUGUCUAGAGUGCAGGAGAGGUAAGUGGAAUUCCUAGUGUAGCGGUGAAAUGCGUAGAGAUUAGGAAGAACACCAGUGGCGAAGGCGACUUACUGGACUGUAACUGACGCUGAGGCAUGAAAGCGCGGGGAGCAAACAGG